GUGUUUUUCUUACAUAGUAGACAAGGCUCCAGGACUGGAUCUCCUCAGCACUGAAACAUCUAGUUACAUGACUUCAAUUACUUAGAGAAUGGGCAGAAUGAAACAAACCAGUACUACAGUACAAGAGAAGUACACCUCCAGGAAUGUCAGCCCUCAGAAAAGAAUGGGGUUGUGAGUUACAGCCAAGUAAAGUUUUGUGCUGGGAACUAUCACAUAAGACAUUCAUCCCUUCAAAUCAACCCGUGGCAGCAGCAGCUCAAACUGGCUAAAAUUUCCAUCAGAUUGCUAAUGAAGGAAGUAACCUGGAGCACUGGGCAUCUCUUUCACAGUUAAGAAGAACGAAGGGCACUCCUGAGUUUGUUUUGCAGCUUUUCCUGCCCUAGAUAGAAUUUGUGCAGAAAAGAACAAGUUCAAGCUGCUUUGUUUUUAUUUAUAUUCCAAGCAGAUCAUGCACAAGACAGCUGUUUAUCAGCCAUCUGUAUAGAUGCAUUAAUAAACAUUCUGCUCAAUCUAA